CUGAACGGAGCGAGAGGCGAGAGGGCGAACAAAAACAGCUUCGACCGACCUCACCGAGUUUCAUUCGAGUCAAGCGUAUUUCGGAAUUCGGUCUGUAGUGAUUUGGGUGUGUCGCUGAACAAAGAAACUAAUCAACAUGAGUGGACAACAGUACUACCCUUACAAGUGCACCCCCACGGUGUACCCAGCGGAGCCCUUCGAGCCUGCUGCGGACGCCGAGACCCUUCGCAAGGCGAUGAAGGGAAUCGGCACCGAUGAGAAAGCCAUCAUCGAUGUCCUUUGCAGACGUGGUAUCGUCCAGCGUUUGGAAAUCGCCGAGACUUUCAAGACCAACUACGGCAAGGACUUAAUCUCCGAGCUGAAGAGCGAGCUCAGCGGAAACUUGGAGAACGUGAUCGUGGCGCUCAUGACUCCCCUCCCCCACUUCUACGCCAAGGAACUGCAUGAUGCCGUCGCGGGGCUUGGUACUGAUGAGGAGGCCAUCAUUGAGAUCCUCUGCACACUCUCCAACUACGGCAUCCGUACCAUCUCUGCUUUCUAUGAGCAAUUGUAUAACAAGAGCUUGGAGUCUGACCUGAAGGGCGACACAUCUGGCCACUUCAAGAGGCUGUGCGUGUCUCUCUGCAUGGCCAACCGUGAUGAGAACCAGGGCAUCGAUGAGGGAGCGGCCAAGGCUGAUGCUGAGGCUCUCGCGUCUGCCGGCGAGGGACAGUGGGGCACUGACGAGUCUGUCUUCAACUCCAUCCUUAUCACACGCUCUUACCAGCAACUUAGACAGAUCUUCGCUGAAUACGAGCAGAUGACCGGCAAGGACAUCGAAGAGACCAUCAAGAAAGAAUUCUCUGGAAGCAUCGAGAAAGGCAUGCUUGCCAUCGUCAAGUGCGUUAAGAGCAAGGUAGGCUUCUUUGCUGAGCGCCUGUACUACUCGAUGAAGGGACUGGGAACCAACGACAAGACCCUCAUCAGAAUCAUCGUCAGCCGUUCAGAAAUCGACCUCGGUGACAUCAAGCAAGCUUUCCUUGACAAAUACGGAAAGUCCUUGGAGAGCUGGAUUGCUGAGGACUUAGGAGGUCCGCUCGGUGAACUCCUGUCGACAAUGUGUUACUAAAGCCUCACCAAUGCUUACAUAUAACACUCAGUAUUACGAGCGCCAUAUGUGUGACAAUGCUGCAGUGUGAAGUUUUAUUCUAAUCACGACACGCGUGUCAGCAUAUAAUCGACCGAGUACAAUAAACCUCGUUGCAUUUUAAAGACAUUUAUUUUAUUAUUUAUAGAUAUCUUCGUAAGAUAUUUUGUGAUACACUUUCGAAUAACGUGUGACUACAAUCAUAAGUAAUGGGCCAGUUUCUUUUGUAUUUUAGCAAACUGUGCAAGCGGUAGAUUUAUCUAAAUAUUCUUUCCAGGAUGACCUAUCGAGUGACUUCGGAAAUGUGCUAGUCACACUUUGUGCUUAAUCCUGCAGAAUGAAUUAUAUUUUUUUAUUAAAGUUAUUAUUUUUUAUACAAGUAACUGUAUGGCUUGGCAUGCUGUUUUGUAUAAACUGAGCUAACGUUACAAAGUACAAUGUAAUGAUUUGCAGGACGAUACGAAAGGCGACUACAAACGCGUGUUACUCACUCUAGUGUCGUAACAAAGUGAACGCAUAAUACUUCGCGAUGAAAUCCUACUGGAUACAGUUCCGUAAAGUUCCAUUACUACUUAAUACUGCCUAUACAUUGUAUAACUGUUGAGAUGUUAUAGAAAUUAAAGCUUGAUAUUUUUGUGAAAAAUGAGAUAUUUAUUGGUGCUGUAGUUUCGUUUACAAUAUACACAUAUUUACAUUUAAUAAUUAAUUAAACUACUAUGUAUGUUC
rnacentral:misc_RNA from 1 species